rnacentral:rRNA from 1 species
GCUUAUGCGUUCGUUGGGUAGGGGAGCGUUCUGUAAGCCUGUGAAGGUGGCCUGUGAGGGUUGCUGGAGGUAUCAGAAGUGCGAAUGCUGACAUAAGUAACGAUAAAGCGGGUGAAAAGCCCGCUCGCCGGAAGACCAAGGGUUCCUGUCCAACGUUAAUCGGGGCAGGGUGAGUCGACCCCUAAGGCGAGGCCGAAAGGCGUAGUCGAUGGGAAACGGGUUAAUAUUCCCGUACUUGGUGUUACUGCGAAGGGGGGACGGAGAAGGCUAUGUUGGCCGGGCGACGGUUGUCCCGGUUUAAGCGUGUAGGUGUGUGUUCCAGGUAAAUCCGGUUCACUUUAACACUGAGGCGUGACGACGAGGCACUACGGUGCUGAAGCAACAAAUGCCCUGCUUCCAGGAAAAGCCUCUAAGCAUCAGGUAACAUCAAAUCGUACCCCAAACCGACACAGGUGGUCAGGUAGAGAAUACCAAGGCGCUUGAGAGAACUCGGGUGAAGGAACUAGGCAAAAUGGUGCCGUAACUUCGGGAGAAGGCACGCUGACAUGUAGGUGAAGUGAUUUACUCAUGGAGCUGAAGUCAGUCGAAGAUACCAGCUGGCUGCAACUGUUUAUUAAAAACACAGCACUGUGCAAACACGAAAGUGGACGUAUACGGUGUGACGCCUGCCCGGUGCCGGAAGGUUAAUUGAUGGGGUCAGCGCAAGCGAAGCUCCUGAUCGAAGCCCCGGUAAACGGCGGCCGUAACUAUAACGGUCCUAAGGUAGCGAAAUUCCUUGUCGGGUAAGUUCCGACCUGCACGAAUGGCGUAAUGAUGGCCAGGCUGUCUCCACCCGAGACUCAGUGAAAUUGAACUCGCUGUGAAGAUGCAGUGUACCCGCGGCAAGACGGAAAGACCCCGUGAACCUUUACUAUAGCUUGACACUGAACAUUGAGCCUUGAUGUGUAGGAUAGGUGGGAGGCUUUGAAGUGU